rnacentral:rRNA from 1 species
UACGGGGGGGGCAAGCGUUGUUCGGAAUUACUGGGCGUAAAAGGCUCGUAGGCGGCCAACUAAGUCAGACGUGAAAUCCCUCGGCUUAACCGGGGAACUGCGUCUGAUACUGGAUGGCUAGAGGUUGGGAGAGGGAUGCGGAAUUCCAGGUGUAGCGGUGAAAUGCGUAGAUAUCUGGAGGAACACCGAUGGCGAAGGCAAUCCCCUGGGCCUGCACUGACGCUCAUGCACGAAAGCGUGGGGAGCAAACAGG